CCCACCCCUAAUUCCACGCGGUGGUCCUUUCUCAGGACGAAACACGAAAAUGUCUCAAGACUUCACGAGUGCUCCGUCGACUCUUGUCUCUCCUCUAACUCCCUUAGACCAAACCCAAUGGGUAACUGUGGCAGCUGCCUCCCCUCUACCUUCACCACCGACUCCUCAGACUCUUCCGCCGAUUCCCGCCAUCCUCCUCACUCCAAUGUCAUCACCGUCCAGCCCCCAUCCGCCUCUCCCACGCCUCGCCCUCCACCUCCGCAUUCACUACAACCCUCCAAUCGUCCUUCCCUCACUGCUUCCGCCGUGGGCCGAGUCCUAGGUCGUCCCAUGGUGGACGUCCGCAAAACAUACGCGUUCGGCCGCGAGCUGGGUCGAGGCCAGUUCGGGGUCACCUAUCUCGUCACCCACAAGGAAACGAAGCAGCAGUUCGCCUGCAAAUCCAUCACCACCCGCAAACUCAUCAACCGCGAUGACAUUGAGGACGUCCGCCGUGAGGUCCAGAUCAUGCACCACCUUACUGGUCACAGGAAUAUAGUGGAGCUAAAAGGUGCAUAUGAGGAUAGGCACUCGGUGAACUUGGUGAUGGAGCUAUGCGCUGGAGGGGAGUUGUUUGAUCGGAUCAUAGCUAAGGGUCAUUACUCAGAGAGAGAAGCAGCUAAUCUAUUUAGGCAGAUCGUGACUGUUGUGCAUUAUUGUCAUUCAAUGGGAGUUAUACAUAGGGAUUUGAAGCCUGAGAAUUUUCUUUUCUUGAGUACUGAUGAGAAUUCCCUUUUGAAGGCUACUGAUUUUGGCCUCUCCGUGUUCUUUAAGCCAGGUUUAUCAACAAUCAACAAAUAAUAAAAUGUGUUGGUGCUUCUUACCAAAUAAAUAAACGUUUUGGUGCUCUAAAAUCGUUGGAUUAGAGGAAUUUUUACUCUUCAUCUUUCUUCCACUUUUCUAGUAUGAGUGAGGUGCGAAAUAUCAGUGGAGUUCUAUUGCCAAGUUAGCUUUCCAAGAAUUCUAUUGGUAAUUUUUAUUUUGUUCCUACUAGUCUUUGAAUUCUGAACUUGAAAGCAUCCUCCCUUCUCACCAUUAUUUUAUGAAGCAUUUUCCUUUUCACUUUACAAUCUAUGUGUCAUUGCAGGUGAUGUAUUUAAAGACCUUGUUGGAAGUGCGUAUUAUGUAGCUCCUGAAGUAUUACGUCGAAAUUAUGGAGCUGAGGUUGAUAUUUGGAGUGCUGGGGUUAUCCUGUAUAUUCUUCUUAGUGGGGUCCCGCCCUUUUGGGGAGUGACUGAAAAGGCCAUUUUUAAUUCUAUUCUCUGGGGACAUAUCAAUUUCUCCUCUGAUCCAUGGCCUUCCAUAUCCAGCAGCGCCAAAGAUCUUGUGAAGAAUAUGCUAAGAGUUGAUCCUAAGGCCCGACUUUCAGCGAUAGAAGUCCUAAAUCAUCCAUGGAUGCGAGAAGAUGGUGAUGUGUCUGAUAGGCCUCUUGAUAUUGCUGUUUUAAGUAGAAUGAAACAAUUCAGAGCAAUGAACAAACUUAAAAAGGUAGCUCUAAAGGUAAUUGCCGAAAACCUUUCUGAGGAAGAAAUUAUGGGCUUGAAGGAAAUGUUCAAAUCCAUGGACACGGAUAACAGCGGAACAAUCACUUGUGAAGAGUUGAAAGCUAGUAUUCCAAAAUUGGGUACCAAGCUUUCUGAGUCUGAAGUGAGGCAAUUAAUGGAAGCAGUAACAUCUCUGUUCUUGUAGUUUUAUUCUGCAUUAGUUUAAUGGUACUAUUAAAGGCACCCACUCUGCAAAAGUACAAAAAAGAUGUUGACAGUCAUACUUCUAGAAAAUUCAUCAUUUUCAGUUGUUGUUUAGUCUAAAAUAUUCACCUUGUCCCAAACUGAGGCUCAAUUUUUUUUCUUUUUAAUCAGGAUUUAGGAAAGGAAGUCUGUAGGAUUAAGAAUUGGUGUGGAGAUCUUCUCUAGAUCUAUGAUAUAUUGAUGAAUGUGGCUGUUACAUAUCAUGUGAAAUUCCUUAAAAGUUGCUUGGUUAUGGUUGAUAAUGGAAUUAAAUUCAGUACAAAUUUUCAUAAUAAUUCAAAUAUAAAAUAUAUAACAUACAAUAAUUAAUAAAAAUUUUCUAUAUCAUUUUAUUUUGGAUUCAUCACUUCUUUCAGAAAAUAUGAGAUGUAAAAUUUAUUUAAAGUAUAUUUGCUUCCUCUCUCUCUCUCUUUGGCAUUCUGGAUCAAAGUUCAAAUUGAUAUGUUUAGUGGUUCAGCUGGGAAUUAUAAACUUCUCUGUUUUUUCAGGCAGAUGUGGAUGGAAAUGGAGCAAUUGAUUACACUGAGUUUAUAACAGCUACUAUGCA
rnacentral:misc_RNA from 1 species